GCCUGGAUGGUGGAACUGGUAGACACCCGAGACUUAAAAUCUCGUGGGCUUCGGCCCGUGCGAGUUCGAUUCUCGCUCUAGGCACCA
rnacentral:tRNA from 1 species